UGAGUAACACGUGAGUGACCUGCCUUUUAGACUGGAACAACUUACCGAAAGGUGAGCUAAUGCCGGAUGAGUUAUAUAAGUGCAUGUUUAUAUAGGAAAAGUUGGGGGGACCUGACGCUGAAAGAUGGACUCGCGUCCCAUUAGCUAGUUGGUAGGGUAAUGGCCUACCAAGGCGACGAUGGGUAGCCGGCCUGAGAGGGUGGCCGGCCACACUGGGACUGAGACACGGCCCAGACUCCUACGGAAGGCAGCAG
rnacentral:rRNA from 1 species